rnacentral:rRNA from 1 species
AGCGAACGCUGGCGGCAGGCUUAACACAUGCAAGUCGAGCGGGCCCUUCGGGGUCAGCGGCAGACGGGUGAGUAACACGUGGGAACGUACCCUUUGGUUCGGAAUAACGCUGGGAAACUAGCGCUAAUACCGGAUACGCCCUUUUGGGGAAAGGCUUGCUGCCGCAGGAUCGGCCCGCGUCUGAUUAGCUAGUUGGUGGGGUAAUGGCCUACCAAGGCGACAAUCAGUAGCUGGUCUGAGAGGAUGAUCAGCCACACUGGGACUGAGACACGGCCCAGACUCCUACGGGAGGCAGCAGUGGGGAAUAUUGGACAAUGGGCGCAAGCCUGAUCCAGCCAUGCCGCGUGAGUGAUGAAGGCCUUAGGGUUGUAAAGCUCUUUUGUCCGGGACGAUAAUGACGGUACCGGAAGAAUAAGCCCCGGCUAACUUCGUG